rnacentral:misc_RNA from 1 species
UUAACUAUUAUAUAGUACUCAGACAAUAAAUUAUAAAGAGUUUUGGGUUCUCUGGCAGGCACUGACCAGCCGGAGCCGGUGGUCCGGAGACGGGCCUGCCAAAGCAACAAUGGUAUUGUAAACAAAGGGUGGGAGAUCUACCCCGAAGGGCAAGUUCUCUGUAAUGAUCCUUCCGCAGGUUCACCUACGGAAA